GCUGAGGGAGCAGGCUCCGGCCUUGGCCAGCCCAGAAAGGGCCUCCCACAGUGCAGCGGUGGGCUGAAGGGCUCCUCAAGUGCCGCCAAAGUGGGAGCCCAGGCAGAGGAGGCGCCGAGAGCGAGCAAGGGCUAUGAGGACUGCCAGCACGCUGUCACCUCUCACAACUUUGAGGCAACUCUUGAUAAAAAAUCAUUUCCCACAACCAGGUUUUUUGAUACCAGGUUUGAUACUAGGUAUCUUAUGAUGACCUAUAAAACAGAUACCUACCUGCCCCGUACCCCCAACCCUGCCAUGGACAGUUAAGGUGAGAUCCCUUUGUUUUGCCAGAGGUAGCUUGGUCAAGCUCCUGUAAUAAAAAGCAAGGAUUCUUACUAUACAGAUAGAAUAAAUGGCAGGUUACUCUACAGAGCUUUAAGGGCAGGAAAGUUAAUCCUGUGUUCUGCUUACUGUCUGUGGCAAAAACAGCCCCUUGUUGUCCACUCCCAUCUUUGAUUCAGUUGACAGACAGCUGCAGCUUAAUUGGCCUGCUACACGGUAUGUUUGGCUGGAUUUUGUGGCAAGCAGAGUCUGGUGGGGGGCCUUAAACAAAGCUCACCCAGCAUGUCUUCUGCCUUGCCAAACUCUAAAAAUAGAAAGCUCAACUUCUGCAGAGCUAAGGAGCUGAACUAGUCAAUGGUUAGAAGAUAGGUUUGUCAUCUCAAGGGUGGUUUGUGUUUCCUAUUAACUGGGGUUGGAAUGACAAGGGGCAAUCUUUUGAGCACUAAAGUCUGGACAGAAUGGCAUAUGACCGCUAUGCAAAGGACUGAAUCCUGGUUAUAAAUCAUAGCAACAACAGCCUGAAACUGAGCUAUCACAGACUCUUAAAUCUCCAAAGUGUGGCCUGGGUAAGCCAUUAUGAGAACUCUGCCUUCUCAGAUAAAAAAAAUUCCAUGCCUCAGAGCUUAAAGCAUACCUCCCUAUAAUCCAUUUCUUUGUUCCAGCCAGACUUUCUUUCUGGAAUUUUCCUCCAUGCUCCGUGACCUGAUCAAGGGUUAAAGAGGAUUCCAUAUCCCACACUACAUUAGAGAAGAGUGACAGCAUAUCAGAGAGAGGCAUUGUGGACCUGUGUUUAAGUCAGCCUGUCUGAAUCCACAUCCUGGCUCCAUCCUUCUUUACUAGGUAUGUAACCUUGGACAAGGCCUUUAAUCUCCAUGGGUUUCAUUAGACUAGGUUUUGUUAUCUAUAAAACAUGCUUAAUAAAAGUUUCAACUUCAUAGAGUGGUUUUGAGAAUAAAAUAAAAUAAUUCAAGUAAAGUACAUAUUUUAGAGAAAAUGCAUCUUCAUAAUGAUUAUUAAUAUCAUGUAUCAUCUGGGAAAGUCUUAGUAUGCCUACUGGAGGGACUCAGGAAAGAAAUGAAGAUGAAGCUUGAGAUAAUUUUAGAAAUACAAAAGGAUUCAGAGAAUGGCAAAGGAAACUCA
rnacentral:lncRNA from 10 species